AAAUUGAAGAGUUUGAUCAUGGCUCAGAUUAAACGCUGGCGGCAGGCCUAACACAUGCAAGUCGAACGGUAACAGGAAGCAGCUUGCUGCUUUGCUGACGAGUGGCGGACGGGUGAGUAAUGUCUGGGAAACUGCCUGAUGGAGGGGGAUAACUACUGGAAACGGUAGCUAAUACCGCAUAACGUCGCAAGACCAAAGAGGGGGACCUUCGGGCCUCUUGCCAUCGGAUGUGCCCAGAUGGGAUUAGCUAGUAG
rnacentral:rRNA from 1 species